CUUCUUCUCCCACCCCCUCCACUGUCCCACCUCCCUUCUCCCACCCCUAGCAUCGUCCGAAGCCAGAUAAUGACAAUCAGUGCUCCACUACCUCGGGGUCGAGGUCGUGCUCGCGCCCGCAGCCGUGGCCUUCCCAGCCCUCCUCGAGAUGAGCCAGCGAAUGCACCUCCAGCCGUCGCAUCCUCGAAGGGAGUCUCCUAGCCCCCGCCGAUACCUACAGACUCCCCCACAGUGGGGUCAGAUGAGGCGGUGGGGGCCAGCAGUACACAGGCCCUGGCGAGGCCGAGGGAUGCACCACUAGCAGCGCCACUACUUCCCCCAAUGGCCCAAAGGUCCAAUUGUGAUUUUCACAUGGGCAUCAAUUCAGCAGUCAAAGGGCAUUAUCCGCAUCCUUGGGCCAACAUAUCGCAGAUCCCACAGGAGCACCAGCUAUUUUGGUUCCAAAAAUUGAAGAUGUCGUACUCGUGGGACUGUGACAUCGAGUCGAUGUUCAAGCUCGUCAAGUCGCAGGCGAGGAAGUUCCUGUAAAAGCGGUUCGCUGAUGGACGAAACCAGUUGGCUCGACCACUGUGGUUGGCCGAGGAGAUCUGGCGCUAGCUCCUCAAAUUCUGGUCGAGCCCAAAAUUCUAGAAUUCCAGCACAGUUGGCCAAGAAUAAGGUAAAUUGGGCCGCCAACUCGAAAGCAGCUGCAACCAUCUACCGCGGGGGUAGUCAUCCGUUGGGGCGCACAAGCGGAAGAUGAUGGAGGUGUUCAAGAAGGUGCACCAGAAAAAGGAGAACAACCAGUGGAGCGGCUCGAGGGCGGAGGAGGUCGCGGAUGACGGAGGAACGCCAGAGACAACUGAACAACAAAUGAAGAUCCUCCAUUGUCCUCUCAAGGCUUCGUGGCACCGAACAUGCAGCAGGUCUGGAUGUCAGCAGUGGAUGACCGGAAGAGGGACUGAGUAUUCGGUCUUGGCUCCAAGCCCUACCACUCGAUUAUUAGACCAUCCCAAGCGACCCAGUCGAUUGCUUCCUCGCCCUCGCCACGACAGCCGCAGUGCCCCAACGUAGAUGAUCGGGUGUUGGCACUCGAGCGCUACAUCAGAAGCAUCGAUCCCAACUAACCCGAUUGUCUAGCGCCCAAGCCUCCAACUGAUCCCUUAGCACCCGGCGAUGACGACAAACAAGCGGCAGCUGGGGAUAAUAAUU